ACGGGGGGAGCAAGCGUUGUUCGGAAUCAUUGGGCGUAAAGGGCGCGCAGGCGGUCAGGUAAGUGAGAUGUGAAAUGCCUCGGCUUAACCCGGGAAGGGCAUUUGAUACUGCAUAGCUAGAGUAUGGGAGAGGAAAGUGGAAUUCCUGGUGUAGAGGUGAAAUUCGUAGAUAUUAGGCGGAACAGCGAUGGCGAAGGCGACUUACUGGGCCGAUACUGACGCUGAGGCGCGAAAGUGUGUGGAUCAAACAG
rnacentral:rRNA from 1 species